UGAUUAUGACGUACUUGUACUGAUUGAGAUUUUAACACGAAGUGAGUGGCGAACGGGUGAGUAACACGUGGGUAACCUGCCCAGAAGUAGGGGAUAACACCUGGAAACAGAUGCUAAUACCGUAUAACAGAGAAAACCGCAUGGUUUUCUUUUAAAAGAUGGCUCUGCUAUCACUUCUGGAUGGACCCGCGGCGUAUUAGCUAGUUGGUGAGGUAAAGGCUCACCAAGGCAGUGAUACGUAGCCGACCUGAGAGGGUAAUCGGCCACAUUGGGACUGAGACACGGCCCAGACUCCUACGGGAGGCAGCAGUAGGGAAUCUUCCACAAUGGACGCAAGUCUGAUGGAGCAACGCCGCGUGAGUGAAGAAGGGUUUCGGCUCGUAAAGCUCUGUUGUUAAAGAAGAACGUGGGUAAGAGUAACUGUUUACCCAGUGACGGUAUUUAACCAGAAAGCCACGGCUAACUACGUGCCAGCAGCCGCGGUAAUACGUAGGUGGCAAGCGUUAUCCGGAUUUAUUGGGCGUAAAGCGAGCGCAGGCGGUCUUUUAAGUCUAAUGUGAAAGCCUUCGGCUCAACCGAAGAAGUGCAUUGGAAACUGGGAGACUUGAGUGCAGAAGAGGACAGUGGAACUCCAUGUGUAGCGGUGAAAUGCGUAGAUAUAUGGAAGAACACCAGUGGCGAAGGCGGCUGUCUGGUCUGCAACUGACGCUGAGGCUCGAAAGCAUGGGUAGCGAACAGGAUUAGAUACCCUGGUAGUCCAUGCCGUAAACGAUGAUUACUAAGUGUUGGAGGGUUUCCGCCCUUCAGUGCUGCAGCUAACGCAUUAAGUAAUCCGCCUGGGGAGUACGACCGCAAGGUUGAAACUCAAAAGAAUUGACGGGGGCCCGCACAAGCGGUGGAGCAUGUGGUUUAAUUCGAAGCUACGCGAAGAACCUUACCAGGUCUUGACAUCUUCUGACAGUCUAAGAGAUUAGAGGUUCCCUUCGGGGACAGAAUGACAGGUGGUGCAUGGUUGUCGUCAGCUCGUGUCGUGAGAUGUUGGGUUAAGUCCCGCAACGAGCGCAACCCUUAUUACUAGUUGCCAGCAUUAAGUUGGGCACUCUAGUGAGACUGCCGGUGACAAACCGGAGGAAGGUGGGGACGACGUCAAAUCAUCAUGCCCCUUAUGACCUGGGCUACACACGUGCUACAAUGGAUGGUACAACGAGUCGCGAGACCGCGAGGUUAAGCUAAUCUCUUAAAACCAUUCUCAGUUCGGACUGUAGGCUGCAACUCGCCUACACGAAGUCGGAAUCGCUAGUAAUCGCGGAUCAGCAUGCCGCGGUGAAUACGUUCCCGGGCCUUGUACACACCGCCCGUCACACCAUGAGAGUUUGUAACACCCAAAGCCGGUGG
rnacentral:rRNA from 1 species